CUUAGCUCUGGCAUCAGUCAGCUCCUCUGUUCCUUUGCAGUCCAAAGAGGUACAAGAACAUCAUAAAAAAAGAAAAACAAUAAAAUUAAUGUUUUCUUUCAUCUCUUCUGUGCUACCAGCUUUCCUACUUCGGGGGGAAAUCUUGUUCACAGUGAUCACUUUCAAAACUGACCCAAGGUGAAUGUCUGUAAUUCUGGAUCUGACAGGAGACUUAUUGCCUUUCAUAAUUGUAAAUAACUGCUCGCACCGAUAAGUACUUCCAAACAUGGAAAUAAUUUCAUAUGCAAGUUUUCGAGUAUUUUUAUACCUGACUGGCAAAUAUUUGUAAAAUUCAGGCACACCAACUUCACUGAAUUUUGCCUUCAUAUCUG